rnacentral:rRNA from 1 species
UUAGGAAUCUUCCACAAUGGGCGAAAGCCUGAUGGAGCGACGCCGCGUGAGGGAUGAAGGCCUUAGGGUUGUAAACCUCUAAAAGAGGGACGAUAAUGACGGUACCUCUUGAAUAGCACCGGCUAACUCCGUGCCAGCGGCCGCGGUAAUACGGAGGGUGCAAGCGUUAUCCGGAAUCACUGGGCGUAAAGGGCGCGUAGGCGGUCUGUUAAGUCCGAUGUUAAAUCCCGGGGCUCAACCCCGGAUAAGCGUUGGAUACUGGCAGGCUAGACGGUUGGAGAGGCGAGUGGAAUUACCAGUGUAGCGGUGGAAUGCGUAGAUACUGGUAGGAACACCCAUUGCGAAGGCAGCUCGCUGGACAACACGUGACGCUGAGGCGCGAAAGUGUGGGGAGCAAACC